rnacentral:lncRNA from 1 species
UUCCAGAGUUCGCGUUUGUCUUGAAAGCACCAUAAAUCCAGAGAACGCCAGAAUAUGAAGACAAAGUUUGAUGACAGAAUUUGCCCACGAAGGACCGCCGCACCACCUUCCUGUUCAAGUGAGCACAGCACAACAAGCCCUCCUGGUUUUGACCCUUGCCUGUCCUGACGCCGAACCCGCCUGCCUGACCACUCCCGCCUGUUCUGUCCUCAAGCCUGCCUAUCGCCUGGUACUGUUUGGACUCUGACCUGAUUACUGAACCCCUGCCUGUCCUGACCUCGAGCCUGCCUAUCGGGACCUCGAGCCUGCCUAUCGCCUGGUACUGUUUGGACUCUGAUCUGGUUUAUGAACUCUCGCCUGUCCCCGACCUGCCUUUUGCCUACCCUUUUGUUAUAAUAAAUAUUGGAGCUCAACCAUCUGACUCCUGUGUCUGCGUUUGGGUCUCGCCUUGUGCCCUUAUAGUACGAACUGGCCAUGACAGACCCAGCAGACUUGGACCAGCUUCAUCACGUUGUCUCCCUGUAGGGAGCCACCAUUGGGAGGCAUGAGGCGCAACUUCGGGAACUCUUGGAAGGGCUUUGUUCCCUUACGGAAUGCCACGACCAAGGGUUCAAGGCUAUAUCGGAGCAAAUCUGUGAAUUAGCUCAUAGGCAGCAUGCCACAUUUGAGACCUCCCAACCACCCAGUAACCUUUCUACUACUAGUGGAUUUGUUCAACCUACCCCGGAUCCCCGAAAACCCUGCUUACCUCCUCCGGAGCGUUAUGCAGGUAAUCCUGGUACCUGCCGGCAUUCCUUUCCCUGAGUUCCCUCAUUUUCAAACUCCAGCUCUCUUCGUUCCCAUCGGACCGAUCGAAGAUAGCGGAGAGCCGAAAACACCUGAGGUUCCCCGGGAAUCAUCGGCGGCGGGUGAGUUGGGAGUCCUUAAUUUCCAUCACCUGCCCACCUUUUUUUGUGAUUCUGCUGUGGGGAGACCAGUCUAAGUCUGUAUGGGUGCUCACUUACUCUGGGGCUGAUGAAAGUUUUAUGGACGCUACCAUGGUUUCUGAAUUAGGUAUUCCCACUCAACUUCUCUCAGUCUCCAUGGAUGCAAGGGCACUAGACGGCCUCCCUUUUGGAAGAGUCACCCAUAGCACAGUGCCCGUUCAUAUACGGGCAUCAGGAAAUCACAGUGAGACCAUACAGUUCCUCCUCAUCGAUUUUCCCCCCCAUGUUCCUGUGGUUUUGGGAUUUCCUUGGCUCCAGAAACACAAUCCUGUUAUUGACUGGACCACAAGCUCCAUCCUGGGUUGAAGCCCGUUUUGUCAUUCUCAUUGCCUUAAAGCGGCACAGCUGUCUUUGAGAUGUCCCCCUCAGGACGUAAGCAAAGCCUUGGCUGUCUCUGCCAUUCCCACUGAGUACCAUGACCUCCUGGAGAUCUUCAGUAAGGCAUGUGCUACUUCUCUUCUCCCGCACCAUCCUUAUGAUUGUGCCAUUGAUCUCCUCCCUGGCACCACACCACCGCGUGGUCGGCUAUAUUCUCUAUCCGGCCCGGAGACCAAGGCCAUGGAGGAGUACAUAGAGGAGUCUCUGGCUACUGGAGGCAUCCGUCCGUCUGCAUCUCCUGCCGGCGCACGGUUUUUCUUUGUGGAGAAGAAGGACAAGGCCCUGCAUCUGUGCAUUGAUUACCGGGGUCUGAAUGACAUAACAAUCAAGAAUUACCCCUUACCACUCCUCUCCUCGGCUUUCGAACGUCUUCAGGGGGCCACUAUUUUUUCCAAGCUGGACCUUCGGAAUGCCUACCACCUUGUUUGGAUACGCAAAGGAGAUGAGUGGAAGACAGCAUUUAACACAGCCAGUUGCCGUUAUGAGUACCAGGUCAUGCCAUUUGGACUCGCCAACUGUCUUCCAGGCUCUGGUAAACGAUGUGCUCCGAGACAUUCUAAACCGUUUUGUGUUUGUCUACCUUAACGACAUCCUGUUGUUUUCCCGGUCUGCCCAAGUACAUGUUCUUCAUAUCAGACAAGUCCUUCAGCGCCUCCUGGAGAACCAAUUGUUUGUGAAAGCCGAGAAGUGUGAGUUCCACCGCUCUAGCCAGUGGAGGCACUGGCUGGAAGGAGCAGAGCAGCCAUUCUUGGUUUGGACCGACCAUAAAAAUGUGGAAUAUCUCCGUACAGCCAAGUGCCUUAACUCCAGGCAGGCCCGGUGGGCUUUGUUUACAAUAUUCAACUUCACCAUUUCCUACUGCCCAUGGUCCAAACAUGUGAAGCCUGACACCCUCUCCCACCUAUACAGUUCCUCUGCCACACACUCGGUCUCCAAAACCAUUCUUCCUACCUCAUGCCUUGCGGCUUCAGUUGGUUGGGGUAUUGAAACCUUGGUCCGCAAGGCACAACGUUACCAGCCUGAACCUGAAGGGGGCCCGGCUAACCGGUUAUUUUUUCCUAACUCAGUCCGGUCCCGUGUCCUGGAAUGGACUCAUUCCUCCAGGCUGACCUGUCAUCCAGGUUCCCGUCAUACCCUAGCCUUCCUCCGACAACGUUUCUGGUGGCCCACAAUGGUUCCUGACGUCUCUGCCUUCAUCGCCACAUGCACUGUGUAUGCUCAGAACAAGACUCCGCAGCAAGCUCUUUCUGGCCUCCUUCAGCCGCUACCUGGCCCUCAUCGCCUCUGGUCCCACAUCUCUCUGGACUUUGUCGUUGGGCUCCCUCCAUCUGAUGGCAACACUGUCAUUCUGACAGUAGUGGAUCGGUUCUCCAAGGCUGCCCAUUUCAUCCCUCUCCCCAAACUGCCCUCUGUCAAGAAGACGGCCCAGCUUAUGGUGCAGCACAUCUUCCGGAUCCAUGGACUCCCGGUGGACAAGGUCUCCAACCAGGGUCCUCAGUUCUCGUCUCUGUUCUGGAAGGCAUUCUGCACCCUUAUUGGGUUGUCGGCCAGCCUGUCCUCUGGAUUCCAUCCCCAUUCAAUGGCCAGUCAGAGCGAGCUAACCAGGACCUGGAAACCACCCUAAGAUGCCUGGUCUCAACCAACCCUAAUACCUGGAGCCGACAACUGGUCUGGGUGGAGUAUGCCCGGAAAACCCUUCUCUGUUCAGCCACAGGACUCUCCCCCUUUGAGUGUUCAAUGGAGUAUCAGCCUCCGAUCUUCCCAGAAGAAGAGCAGGAGGUCAACGUACCCUCGGGCCAGAUGUUUGUCCGCCACUGUUGACGUGCCUGGAGAAGAGCUCGGGCGGUAACCAUCUGCCUCCUGUGUCUGCAUUUGGGUCUCGACUUGUGCCCUUAUAGUACGAUAAAGCAGUCUUUGGCAAAACUGUAAAUGUAAGUAAGGAAUUCAAAGUAAUGAACUUCUGUUAUUUCUUAUUUUACAUUUACAUUUACCUCAUUUAGCAGACGAUCUUAUCCAGAGCGAC